AAGCUGCCUUUAGCACUCUCACCACCAACCAUUCGAGAAUUCUAGGGAGAAUAGAGGGAUAGACUGCCACAAAGCAUCCCGAAGCUUGGACGGGAUUGCAUUGCCGCUGCUAACCUCUGGGGCAUUUGAAAGGAAAGAAACAACAGGAUCUUCAGAUUCAUAGCUAACUCUUCUCUCAAAAUAAUGGAGAUAAUCUGUUCGGUUUCCA
rnacentral:lncRNA from 1 species